rnacentral:rRNA from 1 species
UGUAGCGGUGAAAUGCGUAGAGAUCGGGAGGAAUACCAGUGGCGAAGGCGGCCUUCUGGACUGACACUGACACUGAGGUGCGAAAGCGUGGGUAGCAAACAGGAUUAGAUACCCUGGUAGUCCACGCCGUAAACGAUGUCGACCAGCCGUUGGGUGCCUAGCGCACUUUGUGGCGAAGUUAACGCGAUAAGUCGACCGCCUGGGGAGUACGGCCGCAAGGUUAAAACUCAAAUGAAUUGACGGGGGCCCGCACAAGCGGUGGAGCAUGUGGUUUAAUUCGAUGCAACGCGAAGAACCUUACCUACUCUUGACAUCCUGCGAACUUGUGAGAGAUCACUUGGUGCCUUCGGGAGCGCAGAGACAGGUGCUGCAUGGCUGUCGUCAGCUCGUGUUGUGAAAUGUUGGGUUAAGUCCCGUAACGAGCGCAACCCUUGUCCUUAUUUGCCAGCGGGUAAUGCCGGGAACUCUAAGGAGACUGCCGGUGACAAACCGGAGGAAGGUAGGGACGACGUCAAGUCAUCAUGGCCCCUACGAGUAGGGCUACACACGUGCUACAAUGGCCGGUACAAAGGGUUGCGAGCUCGCGAGAGUCAGCUAAUCCCGAAAAGCCGGUCUCAGUCCGGAUCGGAGUCUGCAACUCGACUCCGUGAAGUCGGAAUCGCUAGUAAUCGUGAAUCAGAAUGUCACGGUGAAUACGUUCCCGGGCCUUGCACACACCGCCCG